AUGCAUCUCAAACUAUAUUGCCUUCCCGCAGAGAAAAUGGAAAGAGAGGUGGAGCUGUUGCAGGCUUUCCAGGCCGUGGAGGUGGCCGUGCAGAGGUUCUUCUUCACGUACCAACAGUUUGUGGCGGCGGUGUGUGCCACGAUGGAGGCGUCGGGCAAACGGGCGUUGUUCGUGCCUGCGAGCUCCACAUUCUGGUUCAACAUGUAUGUUAUUUUUCUCAAUGAGAACGGUGUUGAAUUAGAUUACUCAGAAUCCUGGUUUUGGCCAUCCACCGUUUGUUUAUAUGAACAAAAAACUGAGAUGAGUUGUGAUAUCUGA
rnacentral:rRNA from 1 species